rnacentral:rRNA from 1 species
UACGGAGGGUGCGAGCGUUGUCCGGAAUCACUGGGCGUAAAGGGCGCGUAGGCGGCGCGGGCAGUCAACGGUGAAAGCUUGGGGCUCAACCCCGAGUCGGCCGUCGAUACUCCCGGGCUUGAGCACUGUAGAGGCAGGUGGAAUUCCACGUGUAGCGGUGAAAUGCGUAGAGAUGUGGAGGAACACCGAUGGCGAAGGCAGCCUUCUGGGCCAACACUGACGCUCAUGCACGAAAGCGUGGGGAGCAAACAGG